GUAACGGCCUACCAAGGCUGCGAUGCAUAGCCGACCUGAGAGGGUGAUCGGCCAUACUGGGACUGAGACACGGCCCAGACUCCUACGGGAGGCAGCAGUAGGGAAUCUUCGGCAAUGGACGAAAGUCUGACCGAGCAACGCCGCGUGAGUGAAGAAGGUUUUCGGAUCGUAAAACUCUGUUGUUAGAGAAGAAUAAGGAUGAGAGUGGAAAGUUCAUCCCUUGACGGUAUCUAACCAGAAAGCCACGGCUAACUAC
rnacentral:rRNA from 1 species